UAGAGUUUGAUCCUGGCUCAGGACGAACGCUGGCGGCGUGCUUAACACAUGCAAGUCGAACGGAACACCCUUGACAGAGGUUUCGGCCAAUGAAGAGGAAUGUUUAGUGGCGGACUGGUGAGUAACGCGUGAGGAACCUGCCUUUCAGAGGGGGACAACAGUUGGAAACGACUGCUAAUACCGCAUGAAGCAGCGAGGGGACAUCCCCUUGCUGUCAAAGAUUUAUCGCUGAAAGAUGGCCUCGCGUCUGAUUAGCUAGUUGGUGGGGUAACGGCCCACCAAGGCGACGAUCAGUAGCCGGACUGAGAGGUUGACCGGCCACAUUGGGACUGAGAUACGGCCCAGACUCCUACGGGAGGCAGCAGUGGGGAAUAUUGGGCAAUGGACGCAAGUCUGACCCAGCAACGCCGCGUGAAGGAAGAAGGCUUUCGGGUUGUAAACUUCUUUUAACAGGGAAGAGAAGAAGACGGUACCUGUUGAAUAAGCCACGGCUAACUACGUGCCAGCAGCCGCGGUAAUA
rnacentral:rRNA from 1 species